rnacentral:misc_RNA from 1 species
GAUGAAGAACGUAGCGAAAUGCGAUAAGUAAUGUGAAUUGCAGAAUUCAGUGAAUCAUCGAAUCUUUGAACGCACAUUGCGCACUCUGGUAUUCCGGGGGGCAUGCCUGUUCGAGCGUCAUUAUAACCACUCAAGCUCUCGCUUGGUAUUGGAGUUCGCGAUCUCGCGGCUCCUAAAAUCAGUGGCGGUGCCUGUCGGCUCUACGCGUAGUAAUACUCCUCGCGAUUGAGUCCGGUAGGUUUACUUGCCAGCAACCCCCAAUUUUUACAGGUUGACCUCGGAUCAGGUAGGAAUACCCGCUGAACUUAAGCAUAUCAAUAAGCGGAGGA